CCCAGUAAGCGGAUCCUCAUUCCUCAGUAGCUCCUGUUAGAAAAGCUCCCAAAAAAACCCAGUGCAAAGUGUUCUUCUUUCUGGGUAAGAAUUUCAUAUUAUUAUUGUUUUCCCCCUUAAAUACAUCCAUCUUCUGUAGUUUUUUGUUGGCUUUUGAUUGACGGGUCUCCGUUUUUUCUUCCAUUUAAAAUGUCGUGCUUUUGGGUUUUGCUUCUCUUUAGAAGGUUUAAUGGUUGAGUCUUGAUUUACGUGGAUUGAUGUGGUUGUUAUUAUCUUUUCGUUAUCAGAAUUUCUAUGGCAAAUGUAGUACAGCGCACAAAGGCGGAUCCAAAAUUUAAGCUUUUAUGAGUUAUGGAUUCUAGAACAACGAAUUUAAGUGCUAGUAACUGAGUUCAAAAUUAAAAUUUUGUACAUAUUUAAAGAAUUUCAAAAUUGUUGGAUUCUGCCGAACCUGUAUCCUGAAAGCUAUCUACCUACACCCCUGUGUGCAGAGGCAGAUCCUGGAUUUGAUCUUUUAUCGGUUUGAGUUUGAAAUUGUACCACAACCCAUUAGAUUUAACGAUUCAAAAUCUAUUACUUGUACUUGUUUAGUGAAUCUUCUUACGCAUAUACAAUGUCUAUGCUAAAGCUAUUGAGUUUGGAUGAAUCCAUAACUUGAUUCUACAUCCACCCUUGACAACAUCAUGAUAUGUGCUGGACACAACAACAACAACAACAACACAGUAGAAUCCCACUGGUGGGGGAAGGGUAGAGUGUAUGAACACCUUACCUCCUGAGUUUUAAUCCUGAAGGUGAACUAAGUCUAGUAUUUAUUUAGAGGGGUAGAGGCGUGCUCCUGUUAUCCACAGAGUAUCCAAAUUGAAAACACCAGAUUUCGUGGUUAUGAAAAAAAUCUGUGGAUGAUUGGGUACAAUUUCCAUGAUUUUCCAUCAACCCACGAUUUGGAUUUUGGAAUAAAUGAAGAGAUCUCUGAAUUAGUGACUUGUGUUUUUUAAUUAUGUUUGACUAACGUAGUUUUCUAAAUGAUGAAAUUAUCAUGUCUGAUGAGAUUCUCAAAUUAUGUUGAAUUGGUAGGCAAAAUCUGAAAUAUGGAAAUUAAGUUGGGGUGGAGCGUCAUUUGGAUGCAAGGCUGCAAAUACCCUAUGCUUGUUUGUACACAAUGGCCCUUUAGUUGAAUUUCUGUUUAAGGUUUCAGUAUGUCUAUUCACUCGGUAAAGUUUAACAUGAAUAUGCAGUUUGUGACUGUAGGAG
rnacentral:lncRNA from 1 species